rnacentral:rRNA from 1 species
AGAGUUUGAUCAUGGCUCAGGAUGAACGCUGACAGAAUGCUUAACACAUGCAAGUCUACUUGAUCCUUCGGGUGAUGGUGGCGGACGGGUGAGUAACGCGUAAAGAACUUGCCCUGCAGUCUGGGACAACAUUUGGAAACGAAUGCUAAUACCGGAUAUUAUGCGAGUCUCGCAUGAGGUUCGUAUGAAAGCUAUAUGCGCUGCAGGAGAGCUUUGCGUCCUAUUAGCUAGUUGGUGAGGUAACGGCUCACCAAGGCGAUGAUAGGUAGCCGGCCUGAGAGGGUGAACGGCCACAAGGGGACUGAGACACGGCCCUU